GUUGUAAUCAGUGAGGGUGUAGGGAGCCAGGGUGGCUUCCCUCCGAACCAGAGGGUAAAGAGCCACCCUCUCCGCCUGAGUGGGCGGGGCCAGACCAAGCUACUCCAAUCCCCGGAAGGGGAGGGGUGGAACAGGAAGUAC